rnacentral:rRNA from 1 species
CCUACGGGUGGCAGCAGUCGAGAAUCAUUCACAAUGGGGGAAACCCUGAUGGUGCGACGCCGCGUGGGGGAAUGAAGGUCUUCGGAUUGUAAACCCCUGUCAUGUGGGAGCAAAUUAAAAAGAUAGUACCACAAGAGGAAGAGACGGCUAACUCUGUGCCAGCAGCAGCGGUAAUACAGAGGUCUCAAGCGUUGUUCGGAAUCACUGGGCGUAAAGCGUGCGUAGGCUGUUUCGUAAGUCAUGUGUGAAAGGCGCGGGCUCAACCAGCGGACGGCACAUGAUACUGCGAGACUAGAGUAAGGGAGGGGGAACCGGAAUUCUCGGUGUAGCAGUGAAAUGCGUAGAUAUCGAGAGGAACACUCGUGGCGAAGGCGGGUUCCUGGACAUUAACUGACGCUGAGGCACGAAGGCCAGGGGAGCGAAAGGGAUUAGAUACCCCAGUAGUC